rnacentral:rRNA from 1 species
GACGAACGCUGGCGGCGUGCUUAACACAUGCAAGUCGAACGGUAAGGCCCUUCGGGGUACACGAGUGGCGAACGGGUGAGUAACACGUGGGUGAUCUGCCCUGCACUUCGGGAUAAGCCUGGGAAACUGGGUCUAAUACCGGAUAGGACUCCUGCCUGCAUGGGCGGGGGUGGAAAGCUUUUGCGGUGUGGGAUGGGCCCGCGGCCUAUCAGCUUGUUGGUGGGGUGAUGGCCUACCGAGGCGACGACGGGUAGCCGGCCUGCGAGGGUGACCGGCCACACUGGAAGUGAGAGACGGCCUGGAGUCCUACGGGAGGCAGCAGUGGGGAAUAUUGCAUAAUGGGCGCAAGCCUGAUGCAGCGACGCCGCGUGAGGGAUGACGGCCUUCGGGUUGUAAACCUCUUUCAGCACAGACGAAGCGCAAGUGACGGUAUGUGCAGAAGAAGGACCGGCCAACUACGUGCCAGCCGCCGCAGUAA